AGACGAUAAUACUUAACCAUCCGCGAGGGUGGGGCGGAAAGCCUAAAGGGUCUCCAUGAGAUAGCCGGGUUGCCGAA
rfam:Geobacter uraniireducens Rf4, complete genome.